UACGUAGGGUGCAAGCGUUUAAUCGGAAUUACUGGGCGUAAAGCGUGCGCAGGCGGCUUUGCAAGACAGAUGUGAAAUCCCCGGGCUUAACCUGGGAACUGCAUUUGUGACUGCAUGGCUGGAGUGUGGCAGAGGGGGGAUGGAAUUCCGCGUGUAGCAGUGAAAUGCGUAGAUAUGCGGAGGAACACCGAUGGCGAAGGCAAUCCCCCUGGGCCUGCACUGACGCUCAUGCACGAAAGCGUGGGGAGCAAACAGG
rnacentral:rRNA from 1 species